rnacentral:rRNA from 1 species
GAUUAAGUUAUUAAGGGCGCACGGUGGAUGCCUUGGCACUAGAAGCCGAUGAAGGACGUUACUAACGACGAUAUGCUUUGGGGAGCUGUAAGUAAGCUUUGAUCCAGAGAUUUCCGAAUGGGGAAACCCAGCAUGAGUUAUGUCAUGUUAUCGAUAUGUGAAUACAUAGCAUAUCAGAAGGCACACCCGGAGAACUGAAACAUCUUAGUACCCGGAGGAAGAAAAAGAAAAUUCGAUUCCCUUAGUAGCGGCGAGCGAAACGGGAAGAGCCCAAACCAACAAGCUUGCUUGUUGGGGUUGUAGGACACUCUAUACGGAGUUACAAAGGACGACAUUAGACGAAUCAUCUGGAAAGAUGAAUCAAAGAAGGUAAUAAUCCUGUAGUCGAAAAUGUUGUCUCUCUUGAGUGGAUCCUGAGUACGACGGAACACGUGAAAUUCCGUCGGAAUCUGGGAGGACCAUCUCCUAAGGCUAAAUACUCUCUAGUGACCGAUAGUGAACCAGUACCGUGAGGGAAAGGUGAAAAGCACCCCGGAAGGGGAAGUGAGUGAAAUAGAACCUGAAACCGUGUGCUUACAAGUAGUCAGAGCCCGUUAAUGGGUGAUGGCGUGCCUUUUGUAGAAUGAACCGGCGAGUUACGAUUUGAUGCAAGGUUAAGCAGUAAAUGUGGAGCCGUAGCGAAAGCGAGUCUGAAUAGGGCGUUUAGUAUUUGGUCGUAGACCCGAAACCAGGUGAUCUACCCUUGGUCAGGUUGAAGUUCAGGUAACACUGAAUGGAGGACCGAACCGACUUACGUUGAAAAGUGAGCGGAUGAACUGAGGGUAGCGGAGAAAUUCCAAUCGAACCUGGAGAUAGCUGGUUCUCUCCGAAAUAGCUUUAGGGCUAGCCUCAAGUGAUGAUUAUUGGAGGUAGAGCACUGUUUGGACGAGGGGCCCCUCUCGGGUUACCGAAUUCAGACAAACUCCGAAUGCCAAUUAAUUUAACUUGGGAGUCAGAACAUGGGUGAUAAGGUCCGUGUUCGAAAGGGAAACAGCCCAGACCACCAGCUAAGGUCCCAAAAUAUAUGUUAAGUGGAAAAGGAUGUGGCGUUGCCCAGACAACUAGGAUGUUGGCUUAGAAGCAGCCAUCAUUUAAAGAGUGCGUAAUAGCUCACUAGUCGAGUGACACUGCGCCGAAAAUGUACCGGGGCUAAACAUAUUACCGAAGCUGUGGAUUGUCCUUUGGACAAUGGUAGGAGAGCGUUCUAAGGGCGUUGAAGCAUGAUCGUAAGGACAUGUGGAGCGCUUAGAAGUGAGAAUGCCGGUGUGAGUAGCGAAAGACGGGUGAGAAUCCCGUCCACCGAUUGACUAAGGUUUCCAGAGGAAGGCUCGUCCGCUCUGGGUUAGUCGGGUCCUAAGCUGAGGCCGACAGGCGUAGGCGAUGGAUAACAGGUUGAUAUUCCUGUACCACCUAUAAUCGUUUUAAUCGAUGGGGGGACGCAGUAGGAUAGGCGAAGCGUGCGAUUGGAUUGCACGUCUAAGCAGUAAGGCUGAGUAUUAGGCAAAUCCGGUACUCGUUAAGGCUGAGCUAUGAUGGGGAGAAGACAUUGAGUCUUCGAGUCGUUGAUUUCACACUGCCGAGAAAAGCCUCUAGAUAGAAAAUAGGUGCCCGUACCGCAAACCGACACAGGUAGUCAAGAUGAGAAUUCUAAGGUGAGCGAGCGAACUCUCGUUAAGGAACUCGGCAAAAUGACCCCGUAACUUCGGGAGAAGGGGUGCUCUUUAGGGUUAACGCCCAGAAGAGCCGCAGUGAAUAGGCCCAAGCGACUGUUUAUCAAAAACACAGGUCUCUGCUAAACCGUAAGGUGAUGUAUAGGGGCUGACGCCUGCCCGGUGCUGGAAGGUUAAGAGGAGUGGUUAGCUUCUGCGAAGCUACGAAUCGAAGCCCCAGUAAACGGCGGCCGUAACUAUAACGGUCCUAAGGUAGCGAAAUUCCUUGUCGGGUAAGUUCCGACCCGCACGAAAGGCGUAACGAUUUGGGCACUGUCUCAACGAGAGACUCGGUGAAAUCAUAGUACCUGUGAAGAUGCAGGUUACCCGCGACAGGACGGAAAGACCCCGUGGAGCUUUACUGUAGCCUGAUAUUGAAAUUCGGCACAGCUUGUACAGGAUAGGUAGGAGCCUUUGAAACGUGAGCGCUAGCUUACGUGGAGGCGCUGGUGGGAUACUACCCUAGCUGUGUUGGCUUUCUAACCCGCACCACUUAUCGUGGUGGGAGACAGUGUCAGGCGGGCAGUUUGACUGGGGCGGUCGCCUCCUAAAAGGUAACGGAGGCGCUCAAAGGUUCCCUCAGAAUGGUUGGAAAUCAUUCAUAGAGUGUAAAGGCAUAAGGGAGCUUGACUGCGAGACCUACAAGUCGAGCAGGGUCGAAAGACGGACUUAGUGAUCCGGUGGUUCCGCAUGGAAGGGCCAUCGCUCAACGGAUAAAAGCUACCCCGGGGAUAACAGGCUUAUCUCCCCCAAGAGUUCACAUCGACGGGGAGGUUUGGCACCUCGAUGUCGGCUCAUCGCAUCCUGGGGCUGUAGUCGGUCCCAAGGGUUGGGCUGUUCGCCCAUUAAAGCGGUACGCGAGCUGGGUUCAGAACGUCGUGAGACAGUUCGGUCCCUAUCCGUCGUGGGCGUAGGAAAUUUGAGAGGAGCUGUCCUUAGUACGAGAGGACCGGGAUGGACAUACCUCUGGUGUACCAGUUGUCGUGCCAACGGCAUAGCUGGGUAGCUAUGUGUGGACGGGAUAAGUGCUGAAAGCAUCUAAGCAUGAAGCCCCCCUCAAGAUGAGAUUUCCCAACUUCGGUUAUAAGAUCCCUCAAAGAUGAUGAGGUUAAUAGGUUCGAGGUGGAAGCAUGGUGACAUGUGGAGCUGACGAAUACUAAUCGAUCGAAGACUUAAUCAA